AGAGUUUGAUCCUGGCUCAGAGCGAACGCUGGCGGCGUGCUUAACACAUGCAAGUCGAGUGCGCGCCCGUAGCAAUACGGGUGGCGCACGGCGGCACGGGUGCGUAACACGUGGGUACCUGCCCUUUGAUGGGGAAUAACCCCGCGAAAGCGGGGCUAAUACCGCAUAAGAUCCGCGAGGAUGAAAGCCGAAAGGCGUCGAAGGAGGGGCCUGCGCACGAUUAGCUAGUUGGUAGGGUAACGGCCUACCAAGGCAAUGAUCGUUAGCUGGUCUGAGAGGAUGGCCAGCCACACUGGAACUGAGACACGGUCCAGACUCCUACGGGAGGCAGCAGUGGGGAAUCUUGCACAAUGGGCGAAAGCCUGAUGCAGCGACGCCGCGUGGGGGAUGAAGCUUUUCGGAGUGUAAACCCCUUUCGACCCGGACGAAUACCCUGCAAAGGGGGUGACGGUACGGGUAUAAGAAGCCCCGGCUAACUACGUGCCAGCAGCCGCGGUAAGGCGUGGGGGGCCAGCGUUGCUCGGAAUUACUGGGUGUAAAGGGUCAGUAGGCGGUGUGGCAAGUCGGGAGUGAAAUCUCUGGGCUUAACUCAGAGACUGCUUCCGAAACUGCUGUGCUUGAGUGUGGGAGAGGCGCGUGGAAUUGCAGGUGUAGCGGUGAAAUGCGUAGAUAUCUGCAGGAACACCCGUGGCGAAAGCGGCGCGCUGGACCACAACUGACGCUGAAUGACGAAAGCUAGGGGAGCAAACAGGAUUAGAUACCCCCGUAGUCC
rnacentral:rRNA from 1 species